AUGUCGGUUAAAAUCGAUUAUAGUUACAUCUAUGAUGCAAAUCCCGGCCGAAGAGAGAGUAGUGAGCAGACGUUGAGGAAUUGUAGAUGUGUCCCCGUAGCAAAAGAUGGAAACGUGGUUAAGAAAAAGCAAGAGACUGAUGUCCAAACUAAAUGGUUUGCCUCUCUGCGGAGCAUCUCGAGGGCCAGAAAUGAAAAGAUUUUUCAGAGUAAAACAAUUCCUGCAGCAGACAUAGCGGAUAAAAUUAAGAUUCUCUCGUGGCAUUGGCUGAAAAUUAAGGCCAAGAAUUUUAAUCAGCCUCUCUGCAUUUGGCUUUGA